CGCCCUGGUAUCUUGUGCGUGUGAAGGUUUUGUUUAAAAAAGAGUAAUUGAGUGUCCGUAUUUUAUAAUUUGUCUAACAUUUUAUCAAACCCUCGUUUUUAAACAAUGGAUUAUUCACUGGCUUUCCGAUAAAAUUGGUGAAAUUCAAUAAAUAUGGAAAGUUUAUCCGACGAUACUGAACUGCUUGCAAGCCACGUGGAGAAGCAUCUCACUCCGGAAGAAAUUGAAAAAAUGCGUGUUCAAAAUUCACGUUUGGUAUCUGAAUUUAAAGCAAAUCAAUUAGAGAGGGACGCGCAAAAGCAUUGGGAUUUAUUUUAUAAAAGAAAUGAUACGCGAUUUUUCAAAGAUCGACAUUGGACGACUCGCGAGUUUGAGGAAUUAUUGAGGUUAGGAAGCGCUCAGGAGCGUGUUCUUUUAGAAGUCGGGUGCGGGGUCGGUAAUUUCAUUUAUCCUCUUCUCGAAGACGGGAUUACGUUCAAUAAGAUAUUCGCAUGCGAUCUCUCACCAAGAGCAGUCGAGUUUGUUAAGAGUCACAAACUUUAUGACGCAGAAAAGAUAGAAGCUUUUCAAACCGAUGUUACGGUGGAAAAUUGUUUUCCCAAUAUCGAUAUUCCUGUUGAUAUUGCAACCCUGAUAUUUAUCUUAUCAGCAGUUCAUCCAGAGAAAUUCAAGCGUGUAGCGGAAAAUCUGUACGAAAAAUUAAGCAGCGGAGGUAUGGUGCUUUUUAGAGAUUAUGGAUUGUACGAUAUGGCACAGCUUAGAUUCAAGGCAGGUCAUAAAAUUGCAGAAAAUUUUUACAUGCGUCAAGAUGGUACGAGAAGCUACUACUUUUCCAUUGAAGAGGUAAAAGAAAUCUUUACAUCCAGUGGAUUUGAAACUGUAACCUGUUCAUAUAUUCAAAGACGGACAGUAAAUUUCAAAGAAAACAUCGACGUACCGAGAAUUUUUGUCCAAGCAAAAUUCAAGAAACCAUGAAAAUAAGUUACUACUUUUCCAUUGAAGAAGUAAUAGAAUUAAAAUCCAGUUGAUUUGGAACUAUAACCAGUUCAGCGCUUAAAAGCGCGCAGUAAAUUUGAAAGGAAACUUCGAUGUAUGGAGAAUUUAAAUUCAAGUGAAAUUGAAGAAACCAUGCACACAUUUACAGUAGAUGUUACUUCUGAAAUUUAAUUCAGAAUUUAAAUAUAGGAGCGAUGGUGUCGAAAAUUUGAGAGGUCGGAUUAUUACAUCAGAUUAUAAGGAGACAAUCCGAACUCUGGAAAUAAAUGAUUAGACAAAAAUGCAGCUUUUGAAACAUCAAUGGGCGAAGUUGCAAAGCAUACAGUUCCAUGCUUUAAGACAACGGAAAACACGAAUAGAUUUUGAAGGAUGAGAAGCAAAAGGUCUAUACUCUUAUCUGCGAAUGAACGCAAUAAUUUGAAGCAUACAAAGUGGAAAUAACAUAAUAGAAAAGUCGCUUGGAUGUUUUGGAAAAGUUCAUAAAAUGGAUUGGUGGUAGAUGUUCUGUAGUUGGCCGAAAUGGACAUUCUUGUAUUUAUACACAGUUUCUAUGUAAUAAAUAUUUUGGAAAAAUAUACCGAAAUUUUGAUGAAAA